GACGAACGCUGGCGGCGUGCCUAAUACAUGCAAGUCGAACGCAGUGGGGACGGGUGAGUAACACGUGGGUAACCUCCCAUCAGAGGGGAUAACACUUGGAUACAGGUGCUAAACCGCUACUGAUGGAUGGACCAGCGGUGCAUUAGUGAGUAGGUGAGGUAACGGCUCAACAAGGCUACGAUGCAUAGCCGACCUGAGAGGGUGAUCAGCCACACUGGGACUGAGACACGGCCCAGACUCCUACGGGAGGCAGCAGUGGGGAAUCUGCGACAAUGGACGAAAGUCUGACCGAGCCACGCCGCGUGAAUGAAGAAGGUUUUCGGAUCGUAAAGCUCUGUUGUUAGAGAGGCGUUAUCUAACGAGAAAGCCACGGCUAACUACGUGCCAGCAGCCGCGGUAAUAC
rnacentral:rRNA from 1 species